UUGAUUUAGUCGUUCUUCUACAUGAUUUUAAAUAAUUAUAUUAAACACAAUACAAUGUUUAUCCCAGUUUAAAUAUGCUCGGUAUCGGUUCCAGAGGCUUAAAUUAUGUGUCUUUGCCCAACAGUUUGCUGCCUAAGUCAAUGCGUAUGCUGUUGUAUAGUCGUAAUAUGCGUGAUUCCCUUCAUGAUCGCGAUGUACUUCACUAUAUUGUGGAUGUACUACUUCGUGACAGCUGAAUGUUAACAUAUCGAAGGAUUUUUUAAGGCAGAAUGGACUAUUAUAACACAAAUGGUGCAAGAAUAUCCAGCAUUAUAAAGGCAAGACAAAUUUGGCUAACAGCUUUACAUCACAAAAUGUUUACAGACUUCAGGUCAGUGAACUUAGAACACUAUUAUAG